GGCGGAGGCGGCGGCGGCACCGCCCGCGGUGUCCCGGAAGCAGCGCCCGGGCCCGGUAUGGCGGAGGCGGGGGAGGCGACCCUGCUGGCCUGGAUGGACCAGGCGCUCGACGUGGCUAAGGAGGCGCUGGAGAAAGGGGAGGUUCCCGUGGGCUGUCUGCUGGUCUACAACGGCGAGGUCAUAGGCAGGGGCAGGAACGAGGUCAACGAGACGAAGAACGCUACUCGACAUGCAGAAAUGGUGGCAAUCGACCAGGUCCUUGACUGGUGCAAGCAGCACAAGAGGGAUUAUAGGGAGGUGUUUCCGCAGCUGGUGCUCUACGUCACUGUGGAGCCCUGUAUCAUGUGUGCAGCUGCUUUGCGCUUGAUGAAAAUUCCACGGGUUGUGUACGGCUGUCGAAAUGAGCGAUUUGGAGGCUGUGGCUCCGUUUUGAGCAUCUCGUCUGGUGAUAUGGUGGACUCAGGAGACCCAUUUGAAGUAGUGCUCUUCUGGCUAUCGUGCUGAAGAAGCAGUGGAAUUGUUAAAAGCUUUUUACAGACAAGAAAAUCCCAAUGCACCAAAAUCCAAAGUAAGGAAAAAGGAUCGUCGUCAGUAGCCCUCCACUGGUGGGACACAGAAACUUACCAAAAAAUGAUAUGUGAAGGUUUCUUCAGCAUGCUGCUUUUUUAAAAUGUGCAGUUCAGUCAAACUCCGUUUAAUUUUCUCUACAGAGUUUUUACUAAUAGGAUACUUAGUACCGGUUCCUGCAUUUUUAUAUUUAUGAUUUCUUGUUAUCAUGACAAAGCAAAAGAGUAAAUGGCUGUUUUUAGAAAGAGGAAAAUUGGUGGUUCAAGUCCACUUAUUUACAGACAGAUCCAUUAAAAUGGUGCUUCUGUACAGCACAUUCUACAAUAUUUUUUUCCUUCUGUGUGUGGAGAAGCAUCUUGCUUUUCAAUAGCAAAUGUUUGCUGGGGCAAGCAAGUAACUCUCUUGGAAGGUUACAUUUGUAAGUCCUUUACAGUCUGUGUGUGUAUAUUCAUUCAAAAGGCAUAUAAAGGAAUUGUACAGUCCUUGAAGACUUAAGACCAUUGCAAAUGUUUCCUCAUUUUUUUCUACCUUAGCACAAGCCAGAUUUUCAGAGGUAAUUUCUGAGAGUCACAUACCUGUGUAGACAGGGACAUACACACAAUCACGUGUCUGUUUGUGUCUGCUGUUGCUUAAUAAGGAUAAGCAAAUAUCACUUGGCUGCGCAACACCUUCUUACAAAGUUGUGGAGAAACUCUCCACAACUCUCUUUAGACUGUCCACUUCUGUUGUGAAUGUCAGUAUAAGAAAUACUUUAUUUUUAAGAAUCCACUAAGAAGUUGUUCUGAGCUCCUAAAUUAUAAAAAUUAUAUACUAUAUAUUUUUAUAUAUAUACAUAUAUAUAAAAGUAUAUAUGUAUAUAUAACUAAUAAUUAUAUACUAAAUUAUAGUAACCAAAAUGGGCAAAUACAAGUUAAAACAUGGAAAUGAAGUUGGUAAUAACAUGAGUAAAAUAUAUUUAAGACACUUACCUUUUCAUAGUGUUGGUUAGCUUUGUCAUUUCCGUGUACUUUGCUUGGCCGUGCAGUAAUUUCUAAUCCAGAAGAGGGCCUUCAAGUUCCACUAAUGAAUUAAAAAUACAAGUACGGUUCAAUCUUGAUUGUAUAUCUCUUAGUGGAUACUUACAUGAAGGAUGACAUUGUUGGUAGUUUAUUUGGCUGUUACUCAAAAAUUUGAGGAAUGCUGUAGCUUUUAUUUUAUGCAGAAAAGUGUUCAAAAUUUUAUAACUAUAAAAACUGAAUGCAGUUAAAUUUUUUCAAUAUUUCAAAUAAAUACUUCCAAAAGUGUUUUUAACAAGAAUAUUAAAACCAUUACUUUGUCACCAUUGUUCUUAAUAACUUGUAUUUUAUGUUUUUAAUGUUUACAAAAUGACAUGGGAAAGAAGCAUUUUUACCAUAAUAGCUAUUUUCACAGUUUAGAAAUAGUAUUUCUUUGCCUUAAGCCCUUUAACUGAUGUCAGUAGCCUAUCCUAUUCUCCUGACCAUUACUUAGAGCCAUCUUUGAGUCCCAUUCCAUAAACAAAAGUUAUGACUGUGUUUGUAGAUUUAAUCUGCCUCAGAGCUCGAAGGGCUUGAGAACCAGACAGCUAAGCUGGAAAAGCUGUUUAGGAAAAGACCAUUUUUAAUGACUGGGAUGGCUUUAUUGGAAAGAAACAGGCAUGCCUGUGUUUAUGGUAUUUGGCUGGUGAUAGAAGAUGGCAAUUUAUCACUAUAGAUAUAUUCACAGCUCAGCUGGACCAUAAUUUUCUUAUACCUUGAAGAAAUCAUUGAAGUCCAAAUUAAAGACAUCAGACAUCUGGCUCGUCACUGAGAUCAGUGACAGUAGGAAUCAGAGCCUUCAUACUGAUUUGAACCACGACCUAAAUCUCUCAACAUCGUUUCUUUUUUAGAGGGACUUUGAACACUUUCCCAUUGCCUUCUUUCAAAGAAGGAUGUUGUUAUUGGAACAUGUGUGACAGUAGGAGCCAUGUAAAUAAGUAGAAAGAUUACUGGUAGUAGGACAAAACACAUUUUAAAAGCUUUGUCCAAUUUUUCAGCCCUUAAGUUGGAACAGAAUUUUUUUGUCAGUGGUAACCUGUCACUUAAUAAACAGUUCAAGUCUUGUGCAAAGCCAAAAGAGGCUGAAGUGGAUGAGAAAAAUAAAAAUUUCUUUUGAGAGUGAUCAAGGCUAAUAAUGUGCGUCUUGGAACAGAGGCAUGGAAGAAAAAUAGUGUAGCACAGUAAAAACUGUCGUUUUUCAGAAAGGUUAUAAAAGA